GCGGCGGCGGGGAACCUCCGCCGCACACACCAGUGGGGUGGCAGCCUCUGUCGCCAUCCCUGGGGAAUGCUGGUCGCCUUCAGCUACCGCCUGCUCCGCUGGAUUAGAAAGAAGAGAGCGGAGUGACUCAUUCCAGCUUGAGACCAGCGCAGGCUUCCUUAGUGGUGCUUUUGUUGACAGUUGCAUCCUGCCCGCUAUGUGUGGGAGCCAGACUAAAGCUGUGCCAGAAGACUGGAAAUAGCAGGUUGCAAGAUGUGGUUGAGAAAUCGAACUCCUGGGUUGUGGCAGGAGCCAUGUCCUUGGAUUUUGGAGUCUGACAGAGGAAAAUGACCCGGUAGCAUGCUUUAUGUGGCGGAAUGCGUAGGGGACUUCGCAAUACUUCUUGCUACAGCAGGUCUCAAAACUGCUUGGUGUCCAGAAAGAAGAGCUCUCACUGGGGGCCCAUGCCUGUGCAUAUGCAGAAGACUCCUCAGAUGUCCCCCACUGUGCCUAAUCCGGGAUAAAAUGACUUGCUGUCCCCCAGAUACCAGUGAUCCUCCCGCUCCUGGAAUGUCCUAGAGCUGCCCAGGUUGUGCUGGAGGCGAUGGAGGAUGGGGGAAGGGGAGGAAGAAGGAGCUCAGCAGGGAGCCGGGAGGAGGUGAGUGAAGGGCAAAAUGGAAGAGGGAUGAAUGGCGCCGCUGCCCUCAACUCCACCUUCUCCCGCCUACUGCCGGCUGCUGCCAGGCAGCCUGCCCCCCCAGCAUCCCCUUCGCCCUUAACGGCACCGUCAGCCAAAGGGGCAGCCACAGUGGAAGCAUUUUAAAAGCAAACCGAGUAUCACGUGGUGAAGGUAAAUAAACAGUACGCUGAAAAAUCAUGC